rnacentral:rRNA from 1 species
GUCAUUUCACCUCCUUCAUCCGAGAUUACCCGCUGAACUUAAGCAUAUCAAUAAGCGGAGGA